rnacentral:rRNA from 1 species
UGGGGAAUAUUGCACAAUGGGCGAAAGCCUGAUGCAGCAACGCCGCGUGAGUGAUGAAGGUCUUCGGAUUGUAAAGCUCUGUCUUUUGGGACGAUAAUGACGGUACCAAAGGAGGAAGCCACGGCUAACUACGUGCCAGCAGCCGCGGUAAUACGUAGGUGGCGAGCGUUGUCCGGAUUUACUGGGCGUGAAGGGUGCGUAGGCGGAUGUUUAAGUGAGAUGUGAAAUACCCGGGCUUAACUUGGGUGCUGCAUUUCAAACUGGAUAUCUAGAGUGCAGGAGAGGAGAAUGGAAUUCCUAGUGUAGCGGUGAAAUGCGUAGAGAUUAGGAAGAACACCAGUGGCGAAGGCGAUUCUCUGGACUGUAACUGACGCUGAGGCACGAAAGCGUGGGUAGCAAACAGGAUUAGAUACCCUGGUAGUCCACGCCGUAAACGAUGAGUACUAGGUGUAGGAGGUAUCGACCCCUUCUGUGCCG